AGAGUUUGAUCAUGGCUCAGGAUGAACGCUGGCGGCGUGCUUAAUACAUGCAAGUCGAACGAGGAGCUUUUUUCUUCGGAAUAGAGUUUCCUAGUGGCGAACGGGUGAGUAACGCGUUGGUGACCUGCCCCGAAGUGGGGGAUAACAGUUCGAAAGGACUGCUAAUACCCCAUACAAUCAGUUGGGUUAGAGGCCUGCUGAUUAAAGGAGUAAUCCGCUUUGGGUGGGGCCUGCGUCCCAUCAGCUAGUUGGUAGGGUAAAAGCCUACCAAGGCUAUGACGGGUAGGGGACCUGAGAGGGUGGACCCCCACGCUGGCACUGAAACACGGGCCAGACACCUACGGGUGGCAGCAGUAGGGAAUAUUGGACAAUGGGCGAAAGCCUGAUCCAGCAACGCCGCGUGCGCGAUGACGGCCUUCGGGUUGUAAAGCGCUUUUAGAGGAGAUGAGAAAGGACAGUAUCCUCUGAAUAAGCCUCGGCGAACUACGUGCCAGCAGCCGCGGUAAAACGUAGGAGGCUAGCGUUAUCCGGAUUUAUUGGGCGUAAAGCGCGUGCAGGCGGUCUGACAAGUUGGAUGUGAAAGCUCCUGGCUUAACUGGGAGAGGUCGUUCAAAACUGUUAGACUAGAGAAUGGGAGAGGGAGGUGGAAUUCCGGGUGUAGUGGUGAAAUGCGUAGAUAUCCGGAGGAACACCAGUGGCGAAAGCGGCCUCCUAGACCAUUUCUGACGCUAAGACGCGAAAGCUAGGGUAGCAAACGGGAUUAGAGACCCCGGUAGUCCUAGCCGUAAACGAUGUAGACUUGGCGUUGGCGGAGUUAAAUCUGCCAGUGCCGUAGCUAACGCGAUAAGUCUACCGCCUGGGGACUACGACCGCAAGGUUAAAACUCAAAUGAAUUGACGG
rnacentral:rRNA from 1 species